rnacentral:rRNA from 1 species
GAACGCUGGCGGCAUGCCUUACACAUGCAAGUCGAACGGUAACGGGCCUUCGGGUGCCGCCGAGUGGCGAACGGGUGAGUAAUACAUCGGAACGUGCCCGAUCGUGGGGGAUAACGAGGCGAAAGCUUUGCUAAUACCGCAUACGACCUACGGAUGAAAGCAGGGGACCGCACGGCCUUGCGCGGACGGAGCGGCCGAUGGCAGAUUAGGUAGUUGGUGGGAUAAAAGCUUACCAAGCCGACGAUCUGUAGCUGGUCUGAGAGGAUGAUCAGCCACACUGGGACUGAGACACGGCCCAGACUCCUACGGGAGGCAGCAGUGGGGAAUUUUGGACAAUGGGCGCAAGCCUGAUCCAGCCAUGCCGCGUGCAGGAUGAAGGCCUUCGGGUUGUAAACUGCUUUUGUACGGAACGAAAAGCCUUCUUUUAAUACAGGAGGGUCAUGACGGUACCGUAAGAAUAAGCACCGGCUAACUACGUG